rnacentral:rRNA from 1 species
AUUGAACGCUGGCGGCAUGCCUUACACAUGCAAGUCGAACGGUAACAGGUCUUCGGAUGCUGACGAGUGGCGAACGGGUGAGUAAUACAUCGGAACGUGCCCGAGAGUGGGGGAUAACGAGGCGAAAGCUUUGCUAAUACCGCAUACGAUCUCAGGAUGAAAGCAGGGGACCGCAAGGCCUUGCGCUCACGGAGCGGCCGAUGGCAGAUUAGGUAGUUGGUGGGAUAAAAGCUUACCAAGCCGACGAUCUAUAGCUGGUCUGAGAGGACGACCAGCCACACUGGGACUGAGACACGGCCCAGACUCCUACGGGAGGCAGCAGUGGGGAAUUUUGGACAAUGGACGCAAGCCUGAUCCAGCAAUGCCGCGUGCAGGAUGAAGGCCUUCGGGUUGUAAACUGCUUUUGUACGGAACGAAAAGCCCUGGGUUAAUACCCUGGGGUCAUGACGGUACCGUAAGAAUAAGCACCGGCUAACUACGUGCCAGCCGCCGCCGUAAAAC